GUUCUACUCGAGCUCCACUCCAGGUAGCAUCGUGCGCACACGUUACAACAGGGAACAGCGAGAGAUAGAUCUGCGCCGACGAAGUCGUCUCGUGAGCACGCGUGACGAUUUGGUAGACGAACCGAAACCCGUAUCUCCGAACCCCGAAACUCCGAAUUGCCGUCGUGAGUACACGAGGCAACCCGGAACACCCGAGCGACAUCGAGUCUCGUCUACGCCACCGUAAAAAUCCUAACCAACAAAGCCAGCCUUACGCCAACAUCUCACGACUCGCUCUAUCUCUGUGCGCACACAGGAUAAAGAGAGGAACGAGACGAGCGACGAAGAUUUGUGAAGCCGUGCGCACACGACUCCACCGUACCGAAUGAAAUCCUAACCUUCAAACCCAUCACCAAUCCGCCAUACCGUCACCGUACCGAAACACCGUAGCCGUAACCACCGACUCAUUGUUAUAGCGAAGUCGCGUAGAUAUAUUCAUAAAUUGUUAACAGCCCUAGUUUAAACAAUUCCAUUUGUAAAGGCGAAAUAUUCUUAAUCAAGCGCAUAAAGUUAUUUGCUAAAUGAACAAUUGUUUUAUUUAAUUAUGUGUUUUUUUAAAAAAAGGUUAAGCUAAUUAAAUAUUUCUAUCAGUUGAUUUUGACAAUAUUUCAAGGUCCAUCAUUUCAUUUAAAUUCAUGUUUUUUAAGACAUCUUUUCUUACAAAAUACUUAUGACGAAUAUCACAACUGAACAUUUUUACAUUAGAAUGUAUAUAUUGAUCUAUUAUGGUUUUGUAAACGUAUUUUUUGAUGAAAUUUUUUAUUACAAUAACUACCCUGAUGAAAAUUUCUGCCUGGUUAUCUGAUAUUUUCAUCAGGGAACGUAUUGUGGAAAAAUGAAUAUUUGAAAAAGUCAUUUUUUUCACAAACUAUCAACUCUAUCAAAAAAAUGAUAGAGGCACUUUUAAAUGUAAAUACCUCAAACACUCUGUUGAUGCUCCCAUAAUUUAUUUAUCCCUUAAAUUGAAAAAGUUGAAAAUGGCUGCCAAUUGCCGAUACAUGAAGUUUUUUACAAUAUUAUCACAGUUUAGAGUGUGCCACUUAAUUCUUUGUGUCAUUUGGAUCAAAAAAUAUCUCUAUCAGUUUUAGUCCAGAGUCAGUCGCUUUUAAGAAAACAUGCAUUAUGUUGAUGCAUAAAUAAUUUAAAAAAUUAUUUUUCUCGAAAUCUAUCAUUUUUUUGAUAGAGUUGAUAGUUUGUGAAAAAAAUGACUUUCAAAUAUUCAUUUUUUCACACUUUCACUACUUUUAUACAACUGUAUUAAAUUUUCGAUAAAAUAAAAAAUAAUUAUGAAAAUCUAGUUUGAUUAAGCAGCAAUAAACUUGAUACAAUAAUGUAUAAUAAUAGUAAAUAUUUAUCUUCGUAAAUCCUUAUUUGCAGUUUCCAUUGCUGUUAAUAUUAUAUAAUAACUGAACAUUCAAAUCAAACACUAUUUCGCUGGGAAAGCAAUUUCCUGCGCUGUUUUCAUGCGCACGCGCACAUGAACCUAACCUUUGUCACAGCAGAACUAGCAGAAGGUUAAAACUGGUUUUUCAUUCGUUUCGCGCGUAUCGGUCUCGAUAACUUUUUUAUUAAAAUCAAAAGUGCAAUUGGUAUAUUUUGUUAAAUACGUGCGAUAAUAAAUGUAUCGGGAAUAUAAAGAAAAUGUGUAUCGUGCAGUAAUUGUACUUUAGAUUUCAUAAAAUACUGCAAGAGUUGACUAGUGACAAGACAAGGAUGUACAGCUGUAUCAUAUUGGCAUUAAUUGUUGCAGAUCUUAAUCAUUGUAUUUUGAACAUGGAAUCAUAUUAGUAGCGGUAGCUUCGUAUUACACUAAAAGAACUUGUUCAUACGCUUAACUUCAAGUAAAUACCAGGAUAGCACGAUCAGAUUUUCUAUUAAGGAAACUAGUGAUAACUGAUUACAUAGAUUUUGUAUAAUUUGUGAUACAUUUUUUUUUUACAACUUAUCGAUUUCUUCUAUAACUUUUAUAAGCGAAUGAUUGUAAUUAUCAUUGAAUAAAGUUUUGAAAAAAACUAAUAAUUUCUUA